UCGAAUUAUAUAUUUUCUGGGCGCUCCUAUUCCCCUUUUCGUCCCUUUAUAUAACACCUUCACGACCCUACCUUGCGUCCGCAUGAACCGAGUUUGGAUUCCGCGGUGGAUACGCUCAAUAAUAAUAGUACGAUUACAAACGUUCCGUGCAAUCUUAACGGGCGUGGCUGGAUAAGAGCCGAAUCGAGUCGAAUAGGUAUUUCGUG